CUCUUCUCAGGGUCGCACCUGGAGAGUUUCCAGUACUCUACCAGACUCAGCUACGAGAGGGAGAGUCAAGCAGAGGCCUAACCAUUCUAUUCCUAACUUGUCCAGUGGCUAGCCAGUGGAAGGCAAUCUGCUUCAAGU